UAUUUAGAAGUAGCAUUGUUGGGCUAGUGACCAUUCCAUGUGUUACAGAUGUAAAAAAUAUUCACAGUUUUUAUUUUCCUGGAUGAAAAGGAGCGAUUGAGAAACUGCAAGUCGCUUCUGGUGUGAGAGAAUUGGCCAUCUGCAAGAACACAGCCCAGCGGACAUCCGGAUGUUUUUUGAUGUUUUUACCAGCCUUGUGGGAGGCUUCUUUCAUGUCCCCGCGUGAAGCUGAAGCUGACAGAGGGAGCUCAUCUGCACUCUCCCCAGGUUGGAUUCGAACUGGCAACCUUCAGGUCAGCAACCCAGCCUUCAAGUCAUCAGUGCUGUUCACACAAAGGUUUAACCCACUGCACCACCGGAGGCUUCUACAGGUUUAAGUCAAUGGACUGGCAGUUCAACAGGCUCAGAAAUGAUGUGAGAUGAUUCAUCCAUUGACUGCUUUCCCAAUGUAGUGUGGAUGAAACAGGAAAGGAAUCAAAAGCUUUCCAACUGGCAAUUCUGUUCGUGAAUUUCUACUGAGAAAUACAUUUUGCAAAAAUUGUUUGGAUUGUUUGCACAUCCUUAUCCCUGCAAAACAUUCUGCAAUAAAGGUCAAACUAAAUACUGUA